rnacentral:lncRNA from 1 species
CCGCGUGAUCACCGUGCCGGAGUCUAUCACCGUGCCGGCUCCGGUGGCGGGGUCGAACGCGAACGCCCCCGCGGGGACCUUCACCCACGCCCGACCCACGCUCAGCCCCGUCACGUUCACGUAGUACAGUGACGGCCGGUGCGGGUUGCUCAGCAGCGGCGUGUACCGGGCGUUCCGGGGCUGCCCGGCGGCGCCCAGCCGGAGCGACCCCGAGAAGUAGUAAGACUUGUAGCUCGGCAGGCAGUAGGAGAAAACGCCGUUGUACCUGCUCCCGGUCUGGGACAGCAGGGACAUGGGGCCACGGCCGAGGCCGAGGAGACCCUGCUUGGGCAGGUUGGUGGUCGGCCCGGUCACGGCGCCCACGCACCCGAACGCGUAGUUGGCGAUGGCGUCCUUGCCCAGGCGCAGCGUGUCGCUGCCCAACGACGCCUGGAAGGAGGCGUCGGCGAAGGGCUUGGAGAAGGCGCACGUCGGCAUCGACGCGCCGGCGUCCUGGUUCGCCGGGCACGGCUGCCCCUGGAAGAGCGGGCACCAGUCGGAGGCGCACGGGAGCGCGGCGUACGAGGAGGAGCUGGCAGGGAUGAAGCGGCUGCCGGCGGGGCAGGUGUCGCAGGGGGCGCAGUGCGCCCAGGUGGCGUCGGCGCUGGUGUCGAGCGCGAGGAGGGUCUGCUGCACCGGGGUGCCGAGCCCCGCGCGGACGACGUACGACGGCGGGGCCUGACCGGAGGCCACGGGCGCCGAGGUGACGCCGGGCGAGGCCGCCGCCUUGGACGAGAGGAAGAGAAGGCGCGCGUCGUCGGCGCGCGCCAGCGCGAUGAUGGACUCCAGGGGGGACGGGGACGGCGGGUGCACGUUGUGGUACACGGACAGGUCGGCGGCCGAGGCCGCAGUGGCGGCCAGGAGGAGGACGAGGAGGGUGGUGGCCGCCAUGGCGAGCGAGCUGGGAGGUGUCAGUUGAGUGUGAGGGCGUGAGUG